CUAGCCGUAAACGAUGGGUACUAGGUGUGGGUGGUUUCGAUACCAUCCGUGCCGUAGUUAACGCAUUAAGUACCCCGCCUGGGGAGUACGUGCGCAAGCAUGAAACUCAAAGGAAUCGACGGGGGCCCGCACAAGCGGUGGAGCAUGUGGUUUAAUUCGAAGCAACGCGAAGAACCUUACCAGGUCUUGACAUCAUCUAGCAAGCCAUGGAAACAUGGCCCUCCUUCGGGACUGGGUGACAGGUGG
rnacentral:rRNA from 1 species